AAAACCCCUUCUAGAUCAAGAGAAGGAAACAGAGACUGCAUGCUACUGGAAUUUUAUGAUGCUCAUGACAUUUGGCAUUUUCUUUCCUCCAUUGCAUUGUUCUUUUCCUUUUUGGUUCUUCUAACGUUGGACGAUGAAAUGGUUACUUUCCACAGAGACCAGAUACAUGUGUUUUAGUGAUCAUUUUGUUCUUUCUCAAUCAUGCUAUCAAAGACCACAUAGUGCUAUGUCUAUUUUUUCUCCAUAUUGCCUUAAAUUGAAGCAUCUAUUUUUGUGAUGGAGAUUCAGAUUUAGUGCAUUUCUGCCAUUUGAUGGGAGAUAAGUAUGAAAUAAAGUAGAGUUAGAUAAGUAUGAAAUAAAGUAGAGUUGGUUAUAAGCUUUUUUUCAAAAAAAAAAAAAGUGAAUACCAAAACCAAAGAAUAUACAAGUUUCUCCAAGAUUUUGUGUAAAAUUGGAUUGAUAGGUUGAUCUAUAGAAUGGGAGUUAAUUUAUCUUAAUUGAAUAAUAUCAGGAUAUUGUUAAAAUUUAUAUGUUUGUAUAUCUUUAUAAAGUGUACACUGUAUAUCAAAAUUUUAGGACCAGGGGGCAGUAGGGCAAAUAAAAAUAAAGUAACACAUUAGGCAUCCUUAGCAGCCCAUCAUAAGUGUUAUUUGUUUUGUAUACCGGGUAUAUGUAUUUUUUUAAAAAGUAAUUAUUACAUACUCAUGAUACUUGCUGAUAAAGUAUAAACUCAACUUGUAUGAAGUAUACAAAAUUGUCAUCAAUUUUUGUUUAUAUUUUUAUCUUUUCCCAAAUUUAUAUUUUUAUAUAUGUACAUGUACAUGGAUUUUUUUUGUCACUGUUACAAUGUUUCAAAGAAUAGAGAGUUAAAAGCAAGCAAAUAUUCACAGAUACAUGUUCUGUGAAUCAUAUUUUUUCUCAUAUAUGUCAUGUUUAUCUUUCUUCAUUUUAUACAUAAAGAUCUCUCACCAGGAUUGUAGUUUGAUAUGAUUGCUACAGUAUCCAGCGAGCUGUGUGCAUGUUCUAAGAGUCUUGGAUAGAGAAAGAAACUUGAGCUGACACACAGAGGUGGAUAGAUCAUAUCCAACCACAAACCAAUGGGAGAUUCUUUGUGUCAUAUGUUUAAACAUAGAAAUCAUGUUUUUUGCUUGUUUUCAUGUGUGAAUUCAUGAUAAUUCUCACCAUUUUUAUGCAAAAACCAAUAUGUGACAUACAUCCGUUGAUAUGAAAUUGACAUGAAUUAGUCUAUAAAAUAUCCACUGUAAAAUGUAUGUAGAAAAGACAUCGUAGAUGUUUCAAAUUAUUGAAUAUACAUUUUAUUGGGGCUUGGAAAUCAAGGAUCCAUGGUAUGAUUGUCACAAAUCUGAUGAUGCAUUUGACAGAAACUAUUUAUUUUAGAAGUUGUGGUUGCAUGGAUAGCUAAGUCAGACAUUACUGACUUUUAGAUCAGAUGGAAAUUUUAAAGCAUAUAUUUUAAUGAUAUGGAUGAUAUGUUGUUUUAUAAUUAAAGCAAAGUGCUUGCAUCUGUAAUAUAUAUUAGGAUGUCAAAUGUUUUGUGGUUGGAUGUGAUUUAUGAUUAAAAAAAUGUAUUAUAAUCACAUAUGGGAUAUACAUGUCGCACAACAGAAGGAUCAUAUGAAAAAAAAUGCAGAUACAUUUAUGUGACAAAAAGGAGUAUUAAACCUGUGAUAAAAAUUUCUCAGACAUGAGGAAUAUAUUAAGUACAUGUAAUACAGCAUUGUAAAUUCUAUUCCUAUAAUCAAUUAAAACUGUUAAAAGUGAA